UACGAAGGGGGCUAGCAUUGUUCGGAAUUACUGGGCGUAAAGCGUGCGUAGGUGGUUCGUUAAGUCUGAUGUGAAAGCCCUGGGCUCAACCUGGGAAUGGCAUUGGAAACUGGCGACCUAGAGUGCGGUAGAGGGUAGUGGAAUUCCCGGUGUAGCAGUGAAAUGCGUAGAGAUCGGGAGGAACAUCCGUGGCGAAGGCGACUACCUGGACCAGCACUGACACUGAGGCACGAAAGCGUGGGGAGCAAACAGG
rnacentral:rRNA from 1 species